UUGAUUGAUCGGGCAAAGAAGGAACGAACGAAACAGAUGGACGAAGACGUGAGAAGGAAAGCACGAAGCGGCGGCGCUGCAUCCGGGCUUUGCUCGUCGCAGGUCACGAAUAAGACCGAAGUCAAGCAAUUGGGGAGCACCUUCGGUGCUUGGUUGGACCGAAGAAGGUUUAAGAACUGAGCAGCGAUUCUGUUCUUCUCCUAUUCCAAUCGUGAGGUACGAGGGGAGGAGGUCCGAAGGGGAGUCCGGUCGGUCAGCAACACGUCGCAGGUGGUGUGUUGGGCAACGGAACUCGACGGGAAGAAGAAGUGAAGUUUGCGAUGGGUGUUGCUCCGAUCGGUAACAGGAAAAGGAGAACAAAAUGGGAGUCGUUGUUGGUCUUGUGUUUGCACUGGACACGAAAACACCCACUUGAGUGUUGUGUUCUUGGCUGGAAAUGAAGAAGAAAGAAGCUGGGAUGUUGUUUUUUUGGGUGUGUCAUUGACAGCUUUAUUUGAGGAAGUAAACAUGGUUCCUUUGUG